GACGAACGCUGGCGGCGUGCUUAACACAUGCAAGUCGAACGAAGUGGCGAACGGGUGAGUAACGCGUAAUCAACCUGCCCUUCAGAGGGGGACAACAGUUGGACACGACUGCUAAUACCGCAUACUGAAGGAGGGGAUUGCGUCUGAUUAGCUAGUUGGGGGGGUAACGGCCCACCAAGGCGAUGAUCAGUAGCCGGACUGGAGGGAGGGACGGCCACAUUUGGACUGGGACAAGGCCCAGACUCCUACGGUAGGCAGCAGUGGGGAAUCUUCCGCAAUGGACGAAAGUCUGACGGAGCAACGCCGCGUGAGUGAUGACGGCCUUCGGGUUGUAAAGCUUUGUUAAUCGGGACGCGGUACCGGAAUAGAAAGCCACGGCUAACUACGUGCCAGCAGCCGCGGUAAUAC
rnacentral:rRNA from 1 species